UUAUUUAAAAUGUGGGACAGAGUAUCUUAAAACAAAGUCCACCAAAAGUCAAGUGGAAUCAAGUACAAUAUUUGGAAUUUAUUGGAUAAGAUGAGCCCCAGAGUUAGCAUAGCAGAAAACAGUACAUACUAACUGUGAAA